rnacentral:rRNA from 1 species
CAGGCUUAACACAUGCAAGUCGAGGGGCAGCAUUUCAGUUUGCUUGCAAACUGGAGAUGGCGACCGGCGCACGGGUGAGUAACACGUAUCCAACCUGCCGAUAACUCGGGGAUAGCCUUUCGAAAGAAAGAUUAAUACCCGAUGGCAUAAUUAGACCGCAUGGUCUUAUUAUUAAAGAAUUUCGGUUAUCGAUGGGGAUGCGUUCCAUUAGGCAGUUGGUGAGGUAACGGCUCACCAAACCUUCGAUGGAUAGGGGUUCUGAGAGGAAGGUCCCCCACAUUGGAACUGAGACACGGUCCAAACUCCUACGGGAGGCAGCAGUGAGGAAUAUUGGUCAAUGGGCGCAGGCCUGAACCAGCCAAGUAGCGUGAAGGAUGACUGCCCUAUGGGUUGUAAACUUCUUUUAUAUGGGAAUAAAGUUUUCCACGUGUGGAAUUUUGUAUGUACCAUAUGAAUAAGGAUCGGCUAACUCCGUGCCAGCAGCCGCGGUAAUACGGAGGAUCCGAGCGUUAUCCGGAUUUAUUGGGUUUAAAGGGAGCGUAGGUGGACAGUUAAGUCAGUUGUGAAAGUUUGCGGCUCAACCGUAAAAUUGCAGUUGAUACUGGCUGUCUUGAGUACAGUAGAGGUGGGCGGAAUUCGUGGUGUAGCGGUGAAAUGCUUAGAUAUCACGAAGAACUCCGAUUGCGAAGGCAGCUCACUGGACUGCAACUGACACUGAUGCUCGAAAGUGUGGGUAUCAAACAGGAUUAGAUACCCUGGUAGUCCACACAGUAAAUGAUGAAUACUCGCUGUUUGCGAUAUACAGUAAGCGGCCAAGCGAAAGCAUUAAGUAUUCCACCUGGGGAGUACGCCGGCAACGGUGAAACUCAAAGGAAUUGACGGGGCCCGCACAAGCGGAGGAACAUGUGGUUUAAUUCGAUGAUACGCGAGGAACCUUACCCGGGCUUAAAUUGCAUUUGAAUAUAUUGGAAACAGUAUAGCCGUAAGGCAAAUGUGAAGGUGCUGCAUGGUUGUCGUCAGCUCGUGCCGUGAGGUGUCGGCUUAAGUGCCAUAACGAGCGCAACCCUUAUCUUUAGUUACUAACAGGUCAUGCUGAGGACUCUAGAGAGACUGCCGUCGUAAGAUGUGAGGAAGGUGGGGAUGACGUCAAAUCAGCACGGCCCUUACGUCCGGGGCUACACACGUGUUACAAUGGGGGGUACAGAAGGCAGCUACCUGGUGACAGGAUGCUAAUCCCAAAAGCCUCUCUCAGUUCGGAUCGAAGUCUGCAACCCGACUUCGUGAAGCUGGAUUCGCUAGUAAUCGCGCAUCAGCCAUGGCGCGGUGAAUACGUUCCCGGGCCUUGUACACACCGCCCGUCAAGCCAUGAAAGCCGGGGGUACCUGAAGUACGUAACCGCAAGGAGCGUCCUAGGGUAAAACUGGUAAUUGGGGCUAAGUCGUA